UAGCUCAGUCGGUAGAGCAUGAGACUCUUAAUCUCAGGGUCAUGGGUUUGUGCCCCAC
rnacentral:tRNA from 1 species